UCUAACCAGGGCUCCCAGCAGUCCCUGAGGGGCAGCCUUGGCUGCAGCACGUGCCAAGAAGAGGAAGAGAAGGAAGGAGGUGCAGGUGGUCAGGCAGCGGGAGAAGCGUCGCAUGCUGUCACUUCCAGGAGAAUUGGCCCUCUCCACUCCUGCCAGGUUCGCAAUAUGGCUGCUGUGCCUCCACGUGUUAUCUUCGAUGAAGGGAGAAUGGAAAAGAGAAGUAUGCCUUUGUAAACAAGAUUUUCAGCUCUUCCUCUGCAGAAGACAUGCCUGCUCUGAGUGUAAAUUGGAGCGUGCUUAGAAGAAGAAACCAGACUCCAGUGUGAGACUUAGGUCCCCCUGGCUCAGCCUCAGCUGUGCUUUGGGGAGUGAUGUUCCUAACCAGUCUCUAAAACAGAAAGAUCUUCCCAAAUUCCUGUUUUUAUUGUGGGAAGGUAUUAGAACAGUUAUCUUGAAAUGUGUUUUAUAUGAUCAGUUAAUCAUUUUGAU